rnacentral:miRNA from 1 species
CUGGGAGGUGGGUGUUUACUUC